UUUCCAACUGAGCAAACCGUCGAUGUCAACUAGGUUAUGGACGCACGGAUGAGGGUGAUAAUCCAGGCAGCAACACUGAUUAGUGUGAUUCAGGCAUGGGUCAUGUUCAUGCACCAGAGAGCUGUUCGUCGUGCUGGGAGACAUUUGAUCCGAUAUGGUCCAUUGUUUCCCCGGGAAUACGAGAGGAUCCAAAAUCUGAACUACAUCUACAACUGCAAUGACGUCGAGGCUCUGUGGAUGAUUUGAAUGAAAAGAGCACCAUUUGCCAGGCUUGUCGAGACCUUCAGGAACAGGGGGCUGCUACAAGAUAGCAUCAACACCAGUGUCGAAGAGUAAGUGGCCAUGUUCCUCCAUGUUGUUGGCCCUAACCAGAGGUUCAGGGUCAUUCACAACACGUUCAGGAGAUCAAUGAAGACCAUCUCUAGGUACUUCAAGCAAGAGCUUUUUGCUAUUGGGGAGCUUAGAGGAGAGAUGAUCAGGAGACCAUCUGGUCAGACUCCACCCAAAAUUGGCGGAAGCCCAAAAUGGUAUCCAUACUUCAAGGUGAGCAUUGACAAUAUACACUAUUCAUGGCUUGAUAUGCUUGUAUUGUUCAAGUUGAGCACUAACACAUGCUUGUGA
rnacentral:rRNA from 1 species